GAGCUAAUUUCAGUUGCGUGCCAGUCCCGGAUGUAGUAGAGCGCCCCGAUGAAAUCGGGGAGGUCAGCGGUUCGAACCCGCUUAGCUCCA
rnacentral:tRNA from 1 species